UCUCCGUUGGUGAACCAGCGGAGGGAUCAUUACCGAGUUUACAACUCCCAAACCCCUGUGAACAUACCACUUGUUGCCUCGGCGGAUCAGCCCGCUCCCGGUAAAACGGGACGGCCCGCCAGAGGACCCCUAAACUCUGUUUCUAUAUGUAACUUCUGAGUAAAACCAUAAAUAAAUCAAAACUUUCAACAACGGAUCUCUUGGUUCUGGCAUCGAUGAAGAACGCAGC
rnacentral:misc_RNA from 1 species